rnacentral:ncRNA from 1 species
GCAGCACAUCUGUCAAAAUACUUCUGGCUUUCAGAGUUUCCAUUGAGAAGUCAGGUGUAAUUAUAAUAGGUCUUCCUUUAUAUGUUACUCAUUUUUCUUUCCUUUGUGGCUAGAGCCUAGAAGCUGACUUAGAACUGGUGUGGACCCAGGGAAACAUGGUGUUUAAUUAAAACAAAGCAUCAAGAAUGUCCAAGGCAGGGUUGGAAGGUUGUGAUUUCUGCUCAGUAGUCUGAAUGUCAAAGUGAAGAAAUUCAAUGAAGUGUGGGUAAAAGUCAGGAGUAAGUAUAACUCUCUUAAGGUAGCCAAUUGCCUCAUAAUCUAAUUAAUAAACUUUAAACUCCAUUACCC